rnacentral:rRNA from 1 species
CCAGCAGCUGCGGUAAUUCCAGCUCCAAUAGCGUAUAUUAAAGUUGUUGCAGUUAAAAAGCUCGUAGUUGAACUUCUGUACAUUCCCGGUGCCGGCUCUUGUCGAACCGUGGAGUGUGCAUCCGCUUACAAACUUAGCCCGGUCUUCAUUGGUCGACUAAGGGAGUAGGCCCUUUACUUUGAAAAAAUUAGAGUGUUUCAAGCAGGCAAUGGCUCGAAUACAUUAGCAUGGAAUAAUGGAAUAGGACUGAGGUCCAUUUGGUUGGUUAUUGGACUUUAGUAAUGAUUAACAGGGACAGUUGGGGGCAUUAGUAUUUCGUUGUCAGAGGUGAAAUUCUUGGAUUUACGAAAGACUAACUUAUGCGAAAGCAUUUGCCAAGGAUGUUUUCAUUAAUCAAGAACGAAAGU